UUGUUUUUAAACACAAAGUGUUUAAAAAGACUUAACACGACAUAAAUAAACAUCGUUAACUUAAAUCUACCAGAUAUAUGCAAAGAACGCCAUCAGGAGGAGCAGUGGGUCUCUGGAGUGAUUGGGUAUUCGUCGCAGAAUGGGAGCGACAAUUAUAGUGCGCAGAAAAUACUGGGUGUUCCAGAUGUGUACCCUAGAUACGAGAAGGCCAUUAGUGCAUGGGCCCCAGAUGUCAUCGACGAAAACCAGUUCUUGGAGUUCCAGUUCGCCGCUCCCGUCUACGUAACAAAAGUCGACGUCUACGAAGUCUACAAAGCUGGCGGUGUCAAGGCCAUUAAAUGCUUCGAUGUCUCAGAAGAGUGGAUAACGCUAUGGUCGACGGACCAAGUAUCCGUUUUUGAGUCUGCGAUGAUAUUUAGUCCAUCGUUUACGUCUACACGUCCUUGUUUCUCGAACCACAUUCGGCUGGAUAUCGACUGCACCGUGGCAAACACCUGGGUGCAGAUAGACGCUGUAAGGCUGCACGGCUCCAAAGAGACAGUGCAGUGGGUCUCUGAGGUGUUAAUGUAUUCUUCGGAGUAUUCAUAUAACG